CAGCCUGAAGUGAUGACUCUUAUUUCAUGUCUCUUCUCUGACAUUUUUCAGUGGAGAUGAUUUUUGCCUACUGAUCUGAUCAGGCUG
ensembl:snoRNA Snord111 small nucleolar RNA, C/D box 111